ensembl:lncRNA
CUUGGGGGGUCGAAUGGGGGAGAUAUGGGGGUCAUUGAGGGAAUUCUGGGGGUUCUGGGGGGGAAUGUGGGGAUCUUGGGGAGGGUUUGGGGAACACUGAGGGGGUUCUGGAGAUCCUAAUGCGAGUCCAGAGGACAUUGGGGUGGUUCUGGGGGUCCUGGAAGGGCUCUGGGGGGCACUGAGGGGAUUCUGGGGGUCCUGAAGUGCUUCUAGGGAACAUUGAGGCCAUUUUGGGGCCCCAGAAAUGGGUCUGGGGGAUACUGAAGUGAUUUUGGGACCUGUUUGGGCCAUUUCGGGUUCCCUCAGGUGACAUUUACCUCCCACUGACGCCAUUCUGGGGGCCCGUUUGGGCCAUUUUGGGGCUCCUGAGGUGCCAUUUGAGACCUCAAAGCGACUUUUUGGGGCAUUUUCAUUUAAAUUCCGGGCUUUGGGAUGACUUCAAACCACAUCUGUGCCCUCUUAACGCCCCGGGGAUGACUUCAGGCCACGCAGAGACCCUCUGGGGCACCAUUUGAGUGCUUUUAGGGCUGUACGGCCCCAGGGUGACUUCGGGCCCUUCCUGAGGCGAUCCGGGCCCACUGAGGGGAUCUGGGCCCGCUCCGGUGCUCCGGACCCCCCCAUUGCCGAUGCCCCCGUACCUCCAUUCCACGCUACGGGGCUCCUCCCGUUCCCUCCGUGCCCCCGUGGAGCUUUGGCCGUCCCAUUCGGGGCUGCCGGCGCUGUUUGGCGUCCUCGGACCGCGUUCCAUCCCGCUCCUCUCCCUUCCCCCUCCGCCCUCAAAAUGGCGGCCGCCCCUCACGCCUCACGAGGUGGGCGUGGCCUCGCUCCGCCCUUCGCGCCUCGCCCCCGCCCCGACCAAUCGGCGCGCGGCUCUCGGCAGUCUGCACGGCAACGCGCGACGCCCCGCCCCCUCGCGCCCUUCGCGCCUCGCCCCUCUCUCCACCAAUCAGCGCGCGGGGUUCCGCCGUCUCCACGGCGACGCGCGUGGCCCCGCCCCCUCGCCCUUCGCGCCUCUCCCCCCUCUCGACCAAUCAGCGCGCGGGGUUCCGCCGUCUCCAUGGCGACGCGCCGGCCCCGCCCCCCUCCCUCCCUCAGCCGCCGCUCCCCAGGGGCGUUCGGUGCGCGCUCGGCGCCGCUCCGUCCGUUCCCCGUUCGGCGGCGUUCCGCUCCCCGCUGCCGCUCCCCCAGCGCUGCCCGCCGCCCAACAGCGCCGAUCCGCGGUAACGGCGGGGAAAGAGGGGGAGGGGGCGGUCCCGCUUGGCGCCCACCCUCCCCCUCCCCCUCUCUCAUAGGGUACAAUGGUUCGGCCCGAGGGGGGGGGCGGGGCGCGGCCGCCAUUUUGCGCGCGGCGGCGGCGGCGGCGGAGGAGCG